AUCAACUUUCGAUGGUAGGAUAGAGGCCUACCAUGGUGGUAACGGGUAACGGGGUGUUAGGGCACGACACCGGAGAGGGAGCCUGAGAAACGGCUACCACAUCCAAGGAUGGCAGCAGGCGCGCAAAUUACCCAAUCCCAACACGGGGAGGUAGUGACAAUAAAUAACAAUACGGGGUUCUUUCGGAUUUCGUAAUUGGAAUGAGUACAAUUUAAAUCUCUUAACGAGGAACAAUUGGAGGGCAAGUCUGGUGCCACCAGCCGCGGCAAUUCCAGCUCCAAUAGCGUAUAUUAAAGUUGCUGCAGUUAAAAAGCUCGUAGUUGAGUUUCGGGACCAAUAUGUCGGUCGUGCCUCGGUACGUACUGGCAUCGUUGGUUUCUCCCUUCUGACGAACCAUGAUGUCAUUCAUUUGGUGUCGUGGGGAAUCAGGACUGUUACUUUGAAAAAAUUAGAGUGUUUAAAGCAGGCUCACGCUUGAAUACAUUAGCAUGGAAUAAUGAAAUAGGACGUUUGAUUCUAUUUUGUUGGUUUCUAGGAUCGACGUAAUGAUUAAUAGGGAUAGUUGGGGGCAUUAGUAUUCAAUUGUCAGAGGUGAAAUUCUUGGAUUUAUUGAAGACUAACUACUGCGAAAGCAUUUGCCAAGGAUGUUUUCAUUAAUCAAGAACGAAAGUUAGGGGAUCGAAGACGAUCAGAUACCGUCGUAGUCUUAACCAUAAACUAUGCCGACUAGGGAUCGGAUGAUGUUAAUUUUUUAAUGACUCAUUCGGCGCCUUACGGGAAACCAAAGUGUUUGGGUUC
rnacentral:rRNA from 1 species